rnacentral:lncRNA from 1 species
CUGCCCCCAUCCUGUCCCUCAUGAGGUGUGACAGGCAGUUGCUCUCGCCCCCUUGGACCUCUGCUUAAAGGCAGCAGCGGUCCCCAGUGGAAUCUCCCGCUUGCAUAAGGAUUUCUUACUCUGAACAAGGAUGAGGCACUUGGGUAGAUGGGAUGGAGGUUGUACCCCUAUGUUGACCUGGCUUCUAUCCCCUAGGUCCCAAUGCUGUGCCUGGCCCUCAGCUGGACACUUCUACGGGAUUCCCAGCCAGUGCCUGGUACUUCCUCCCAGGUGGGCAAGGAGCUCUAACAAUCCACAUGUGUCCUCUCCGGCACCCAGCAUCUUUGCAUCAAAAUCAGGUGAGUACUAAUGCUCUGAACCCUCUCACAGCAAAGGGGGAGCACAAAGGAGUCAUCUUGACUCAUUUUUCUGCACCCCAGUGGGAUGGCUGAACGUGUACCUCCAGAAUUCAUCUGUUGAAACCUGACCCCCAGGACCCCAGAAUGUGACUGUAUUUGGAGAGACGGGUGAUAGAGAGGUAGCUAACAUGACAUAAGGUCACCAGGGUGGGCCUUAACCCAAUGUGCCUGGUGUCCUUAUAAGAGGAAAUCAGGACACAGACACACAGAGGGAGACCGUGUGAAGACACGGGGCGAAGACGGCCGUCUGCAAGCCCAGGAGAGAGGACCCCGAUGGAAUCCACCCUGAGACACCUUGAUCGCAGACUCCCAGCCUCCAGAACCGUGAGAGAAUCAAUGUCUGUCGUCUGAGCCCCCCAGCAUGGUCCUUUGUUGAGGCUGGCCCAGCAAACGGCCACACCAAUGACAGAAAGAGGCUGCUGGAGGGGGCGCGAGAAGGUAAAGGUCUCCCUUCCCAGGAUCAUGACACAGACGCUGGACCACGUUCUCAUGAAAACUCUCCAAGUCCUUUGAAAUGGUUACUUUUCCUUUUGUUUAAAAAAUUUUAUUAAAAAAGUGACAUAUGGGGGCUGGCCCCGUGGCCGAGUGGUUAAGUUCGCGCGCUCUGCUGCAGGCAGCCCAGUGUUUCGUUGGUUCGAAUCCUGGGCGCGGACAUGGCACUGCUCAUCAGACCACGCUGAGGCAGCGUCCCACAUGCCACAACUAGAAGAACCCACAACGAAGAAUAUACAAGUAUGUACCGGGGGGCUUUGGGGAGAAAAAGGAAAUAAUAAAAUCUUUAAAAAAAAAAAAAAAGUGACA